GAUGAACGCUGGCGGCGUGCCUAAUACAUGCAAGUCGAGCGAACAGACGAGGAGCUUGCUCCUCUGACGUUAGCGGCGGACGGGUGAGUAACACGUGGAUAACCUACCUAUAAGACUGGGAUAACUUCGGGAAACCGGAGCUAAUACCGGAGAAUAUAUUGAACCGCGGGGGUCAAUAGAGAAAGACGGUUGUGCUGUCACUUAUAGAUGGAUCCGCGCCGCAUUAGCUAGUUGGUAAGGUAACGGCUUACCAAGGCAACGAUGCGUAGCCGACGUGAGAGAGUGAUAGGCCACCUGGGAACUGAGCCAGGCUCCAGACUACUACGGGAGGCAGCAGUCGGGAACCUUCCGCAAUGGGCGAAAGCUUGACGGAGCAACGCCGCGUGAGUGAUGAAGGUCUUCGGAUCGUAAAACUCUGUUACUAGGGAAGAACAAAUGUGUAAGUAACUAUGCACUUCUUGACGGUACCUAAUCAGAAAGCCACGGCUAACUACGUG
rnacentral:rRNA from 1 species